rnacentral:rRNA from 1 species
AUGUGGUUAAUUCGAAGCAACGCGAAGAACCUUACCAGGUCUUGACAUCCCGAUGCUAUUUCUAGAGAUAGAAAGUUACUUCGGUACAUCGGUGACAGGUGGUGCAUGGUUGUCGUCAGCUCGUGUCGUGAGAUGUUGGGUUAAGUCCCGCAACGAGCGCAACCCCUAUUGUUAGUUGCCAUCAUUCAGUUGGGCACUCUAGCGAGACUGCCGGUAAUAAACCGGAGGAAGGUGGGGAUGACGUCAAAUCAUCAUGCCCCUUAUGACCUGGGCUACACACGUGCUACAAUGGUUGGUACAACGAGUUGCGAGUCGGUGACGGCGAGCUAAUCUCUUAAAGCCAAUUUCAGUUCGGAUUGUAGGCUGCAACUCGCCUACAUGAAGUCGGAAUCGCUAGUAAUCGCGGAUCAGCACGCCGCGGUGAAUACGUUCCCGGGCCUU